rnacentral:rRNA from 1 species
GAUGAACGCUAGCUACAGGCUUAACACAUGCAAGUCGAGGGGAAACGAUAUUGGAAGCUUGCUUCCGAUAGACGUCGACCGGCGCACGGGUGAGUAACGCGUAUCCAACCUGCCCACCACUUGGGGAUAACCUUGCGAAAGUAAGACUAAUACCCAAUGAUAUCUCUAGAAGACAUCUGAAAGAGAUUAAAGAUUUAUCGGUGAUGGAUGGGGAUGCGUCUGAUUAGCUUGUUGGCGGGGUAACGGCCCACCAAGGCGACGAUCAGUAGGGGUUCUGAGAGGAAGGUCCCCCACAUUGGAACUGAGACACGGUCCAAACUCCUACGGGAGGCAGCAGUGAGGAAUAUUGGUCAAUGGGCGAGAGCCUGAACCAGCCAAGUAGCGUGCAGGAUGACGGCCCUAUGGGUUGUAAACUGCUUUUAUAAGGGAAUAAAGUGAGAGUCGUGACUCUUUUUGCAUGUACCUUAUGAAUAAGGACCGGCUAAUUCCGUGCCAGCCGCCGCAGUAACAC